rnacentral:rRNA from 1 species
UACGUAGGGGCCGAGCGUUGUCCGGAGUUAUUGGGCGUAAAGCGCGCGCAGGCGGCUUGGCGCGCCCGACGUGAAAGCCCCCGGCUUAACCGGGGAGAGUCGUCGGGUACGGCCAGGCUUGAGGGCGGGAGAGGGUGGUGGAAUUCCCGGUGUAGUGGUGAAAUGCGUAGAGAUCGGGAGGAACACCUGUGGCGAAGGCGGCUAACUGGUCCGGAUCUGACGCUGAGGUGCGAAAGCGUGGGGAGCAAACAGG